AAUAACCCUAUCUCCGACUUCUUUCUGUCGAGUUGUAUUGGUAGACGGCGCUCCCCGAUGCGUAAUGAUCCAAGCUGGGGGGAAACGGACGUCAUAGAGGGUGAUAAUCCCGUAUUGAAAAAAAAUUCAUCCAUGUGAAGCCCUUUCGACGAGUCCAGUUGUUUGGGAAUGCAGCUCAAAAUGGGUGGUAGACUUCAUAUAAGGCUAAAUAUCAGCCAGAGACCGAUAGCGCACAAGUAGAGUGAUCGAAAGAUGAAAAGCACUUUGAAAAGAGAGUCAAACAGCACGUGAAAUUGUUGAAAGGGCAGCGCUUGCCACCAGACUUGGUUGGACUAUUCGGCCUCCCGAAAAGGAGGGGUAUUUGCCGAUUGGGGGCCCGCAUCGGAUUCCACCGUUGGACAAAAGCUUAUGGAAGAUAACUAUCUUCUUAGAUUGUUGUAUCCUGAGUAUACUGAAACUAUUCUAGACCGAGGAACCCGCUCCGGCCAGGAUGUUCGCCUAAUGCUUGCUAGCGAU
rnacentral:rRNA from 1 species